UAUGGCGACCGGCGCACGGGUGAGUAACACGUAUCCAACCUGCCGAUGACUCGGGGAUAGCCUUUCGAAAGAAAGAUUAAUACCCGAUGGCAUAGUUCUUCCGCAUGGUAGAACUAUUAAAGAAUUUCGGUCAUCGAUGGGGAUGCGUUCCAUUAGGUUGUUGGCGGGGUAACGGCCCACCAAGCCCUCGAUGGAUAGGGGUUCUGAGAGGAAGGUCCCCCACAUUGGAACUGAGACACGGUCCAA
rnacentral:rRNA from 1 species